AUACUUACCUGGCAGGUGAGAUACCAUGAUCACGAAGGUGGUUUUCCCAGGGCGAGGUUUAUCCAUUGCACUCCGGAUGUGCUGACCCCUGCGAUUUCCCCAAAUGUGGGAAACUUGACUGCAUAAUUUGUGGUAGUGGGGAGACUGCGUUCGCGCUCUCCCCUU
rnacentral:snRNA from 1 species